GCGAACAAUUUGGCGAAUGUUCGCUGUUCGACUAUAUAAUCGUCGUAAUCCGAUUAGUGAAAUUAGUUUGUAGUUUCCCGGCUGACCCUUGUACUGUGCAUAAUAUGUUUGUGUGUAUUGUUUGGGUACUUAGAGGAGCACGGCAGAGAAUUAAUACAAUAAGAAUUUAAUACCGAGUAAAUCACCAGUGGACUAAGAUUAAUACAAGCCAAUCUCGAGCUUCGAGGCAUCACAAGAUCAGCCGAAAUUGGAACCGGGAACACGGUGAGAUAGAAAGAGAAAGGUGUCUUUGCAAGGAAUCUUGUCAUGAAGCUAACUGUAGUUUGUAUGACGAAGGAGAUUGAAGAGAAUAAGCUGGAAAGAAAGAAUCAGCAACGAAGAGGAGAAAAAAUAAACAUCUUGAAAUAUAUGGAAAAUAGAAGAGGGAAAAUGUAAUGAUUGAUACGACACGAUGCCUUCUUCAGAAUUAUUAUAGCAGGAAAGGUGGAAGGAAGAAGGGGCCCAGAAAGACCAAAGAAGCCCAAGAGAUUGUUACACCAAACAAAUUAAAGAAAAAGUGGGUGUCGUGUCGUAUCAACAAGUGAAGGAGUUGGCUUUGGAGGGAGAACAAUGGAAGUAACUCCACCGACAAGAGCCUCACUUUUAAAUUACAUGAUGAUGAUGAUGAUGAUGACGAAUAAAAUUUAAACUGUGUAAUACCUAUAUACAUAUAGUCUUAGUCUAACUAUUUACUAUUACUGCUGUACAAUUUAUUUUAUUCAAUAAUUUCUCGAUAAUUUCGUUUCAUCAAGGAAUAUCCUCAACUGGCGAGUGACAGACGAAGAAACAGAAAGGCAAGGCUUUUGUCCAGUAGUGGGACUUAAUAGCUGAAAAAAAAAUCAUGUACUUACUUACUUAUGUGUCUGAAUAUUACCGACUGAUUGCCAGUAUGGAUAC